rnacentral:rRNA from 1 species
GCCCUCAGGUUCGGAAUAACAGCGAGAAAUUGCUGCUAAUACCGGAUGAUAUCGCGAGAUCAAAGAUUUAUCGCCUGAGGAUGAGCCCGCGUAGGAUUAGCUAGUUGGUGUGGUAAAGGCGCACCAAGGCGACGAUCCUUAGCUGGUCUGAGAGGAUGAUCAGCCACACUGGGACUGAGACACGGCCCAGACUCCUACGGGAGGCAGCAGUGAGGAAUAUUGGACAAUGGGCGAAAGCCUGAUCCAGCAAUGCCGCGUGAGUGAUGAAGGCCUUA